AUUAUUUAUAUGCUAAUAUAUUAGGUGAAUAUGUUUUAGGAAAACUUUAAAAACCUCUCGAACUUUCUCACUUUACUAUCCUAUAGUUUAAAGAGUAUUAAUUUGGUACCCUGUCGUUUUAUUUCUAUCUUAUCCGUAGUUUUUUCGUUAAUAUUUCGUUAAAUUAUAUACAAAAAACUAAAAUACUUACCUAGGUUUAUCAAAUAUUCACUUUAGUACUCAUAGGAUAAUAGUAUUAAUCAGAGUUUUAUAUAUUGAAACUCAAUGAAACAAAAUCGGGCAAAAAAAAAGAAACUAAAUAAGCGAUAUUAAAAAAAAAAAAAAAAAAAAAAAAAAAAAAAAAAAAAAAAAGCUAAGCAAUACCUAUAAAUGUUUCAAUAAAUAAAAGGAAAAAAAACAGAAUAUACUGUAAAUAUAAUAAAGCACACAAUUUUAAUACAUUCUGAUUUAUAAUUUAAUUCAAAUCAGCAACAUCGAAGUUGAAAAAAAAAAAGGUGUAAACUAAAUAUAAAAUAGGCUUAAUUUUAUUAAUAUAUACUGCAUAGUUGAAUUGCUAAGUUUGUAAUUACGAAAUAUAGAAAUUAAACAGGUGAUAACGACAUACUUGCCAUUCAAAAUAAAUCUAAAUAAUAAAAAUUAAGAAGGAAACUAAAUAGAGAAUAGCAUAAUAUAAUAUAAUUAAUCCUAAGUGGCAUUAAUAUAUAUAUUAUUAUAUAAAAAAAAAACAAAUCUAACAUUCCAAAGAUAAUCUAAAAUAAAAAGUAUAGAUAAUAAUAUAUUAUGAGAGUGAGCUAGAAAAAAAGAAAAAGCAGGCCGUUUCCGAAGAUAUAUCUCAUUAAAAAAUAAAUACCUAAAUUUAAAUGGGCAAGCUGUAUACAAUUUUUGAUUGGUGCAUACCGUGCGUCUUUUCCCUCCGAACCCCUCUCCCGCUAUUUCACUGUUCUCUUCUUUCGCCAUUACCGUGCUCCAAGAACUGAUCUUGAUUUUUGAUUGGUGCAUGUCUUUUCCCUCCCAACCCCUCCUCCCCUAUUACACUGCUGUUCUCUUCUCUCGCCAUUACACCGUGCUCCAAGAAUUAGUCUUGUUUCACCAUUGAAAUGGGGCUCUUGUUUAGCAAGGCGGAGCUCUUGUUUAGCAAGGUGGAGCAGCGCUCCGAAGCUGUGACAAGUUCACAAUGCUCUGUCGAGAAAUUUGUCGGCUAGCUCCUGAGAUAGGAUCCGGUAACGAUAUGGCUCUUCCGACAACAACAAAUGAGGUUUUUGAUCUUGAAUCUGGUUCCUUUCAUUCUGCAAAGACUCUCAAUCUUUUCUGUAGCUACCUCCAAUCCAUUGUACUUGCACCAUUACUUUACCUCGCCACGAUGAAUCAUUGUAUCAACGACGAACAUAGCGACGUCACGGUGGUCCGUGGGUUAGUGGCCCCGCCUUCAACCAUUUCAAUAUAGAAAUGUUGAUGAAAUUAUUUCGGAGAUCGGCAAGGAAUCAUCCUUGUUGAAGCCGAAGUUGCAGGAACGAAAAAUGGAGGUUAAGGAAGAAUCAGUGCGAAUCAAGAAAUACAAAAGAAAAUGGGAAAUUGCUGGGCUAAUUCUGUCUCUCGUUCUCAUAAUAUUCAAUUUCGCCGCAAUUAUGCUGACAAAAUUCUUGGUUCAAACCGCGGUGGUGGUGUGUGUCAAUGGGGGGCUAAACAUGCUCAUUUCCACCGUGAAAAUGGCGGAACUCUGGCUAAUCAAAACUGCAAACGAGAAGGUGAUUGAAUAAGAAGAACAACGGAGUUUGCUCAGUGUGAUAAUCGAUGGUUGUAGCUCUUCGCAGAUAAUGCUAAGCAACCUGUGGCAAAUUCGAGUAACUGCAGAAAAUUUAAAGCUCCAGCGUGCCAACUUACGCGCUGCUCGGAAUCACAGCAGCGUCGGUACGGUGGAGGGUUUGAAGGAAGAUUUGAGGAACGAAAUUGCAAAACUCGAAAUGAUGAUCGACACUGAAGAACAAAAGGUGAAAACUGCCGCUAGAAGCUUCAUGACUAUUGUUCGGAAUUGAGAGUUCACAAGUGUUUCUAACUAGUCGAUCGUCCAGGAUCUCGCCUAUUGUUAGGAUUUGUUCUAAACACUCUAAAAAUGGUUUGAAUGAUUCUAGAAGAGUUUCUAGAUGUUGAACAAACUCUUUUUUGUUUGUUUUAGAGAUCAAAACGAGAUAUUGAGCAUAUGAUAUUAUUAGGGCACCAAAAUUGUGGUUUUUGUUAUGGGUGGGUUUAAAUGUAAAUUAACCCUAUACAAACCUAAUUGUUAGGUAUACGAACGCGUUGGUGAAGUCGGUUCGGCGAUUCGUCGAGCCUACGCGAAGUUAUUGAAGAAACGGACCGUUAAAGCUUCGUUUCCGCCUGGAGAGCCGAGACCACGUCCUAAAAUCAAAGAAACGGAAUCGGGGGCUCGUUACAACUAACCGUAGACCUUUAAUUUCCGGAUCGUUGAUUGGAGGCCGUUCGGGAGUGGUUGCGCGAGAGUUCGGCCCGAACUGGGUCACAGAUGCCGCGGGAGGCCGAUUGCAAGUGACGACAAGCAAUCAGAGAGCAAAUUGAGGUGGGUUGUGCUUACGGAAGCGACUAGGUCGCCUCUAUGUCUAAGUGUAAUGUGGUUUUAUAUUGAUGCAUUUAAAUACUAGAUAGAUGCAUGUAGUAAAUGCUAAAGGGAAUGCAUGCAAAUGACAUAAAGCAGAGAUGCCAAAGAGAACACAUGUUGCAUGUUAUAGAAAUGCUAAGUGAAUGCAUAUGGUGUAAUAUAGAAAAUGCUAGAAUGCAUGAUGACAUAAUAUGAAUGAUGCUAGUUAAAAGCAUAAGAAAAAUGACAUUUGCAUGUUAAUCAUAAAGUUAGAGAACAUGCUAGUUGUAACGCAUAAUGACAAGUUGUAAAUAAUGUUAGUUGGGAUAAGCAUGUUAUGUGAAUGCUAGAUAAUUUCAUGAAGGCAAGGUUAGCAUUGCGAGGACUAUGGAAUACUCGAAUUGGACAACUAGGAUGUCAAUUAGAUAGAAUGACAUAUGAACCUAGUGUUGAUAAACAUAGGUGGGCAUCGAACCUAGUGUUAAAAAAUAUAGGUUGAGAAUGGAGCCUAGAGUUAAGUAAACCUAGGUUAUGAAUAUAGUGACAUUGAACCUAGAGUCGAAUAAAUCUAGAGAAUAAAAAAUAUUGAAUCUAGUGUUAAUAAACCUAGGCUAUGAGCAUAGAGGUAACGAACCUAACGUAUUAAACUUAGGUUGAGUAAAGGAUUGGACCUACAUAGGUCGAUACUAUAGGGUGAGACCAACCCUAGAGUUGUGAAAGUGGAUUCUGGAAUUCCGGCUGCGAGUGCAGCGGCUGCUAGUGCAGCAUAUGAGCUCGAUAGGGCCGCGGGUGCGUGUGGCAUAUUCUCCUCCCACCGGAAGAACUUCGAGAAUUGUGAUUGAGCAAGAUUCUAGGAGCGCUAGGGUGCGUGUGGCAUAUUCCCCUCCCACCGAAAAAAUUUCUGACCACGAGUGUACGCAGCUCUGAGCGACCAGUUGGGCGAUGUGGUUUGUAGAUUGAAGGCCGAAAUGUAUGUGAGAGUUCCUUCACCUCGAGCCGGACAGAGCGCGGAUUAUCCGCAGUUGAUUGACUCAAGACCGAGUUUGGUGGUAUAGCGUGACUAAUAUAAGAGUAACCUUAGGAAAGAAUGGCAAGUAAAGAGUAAAGCUAGCUAACAAUAAAGAACGGCUAAAAAAUAAGAAUAGCUAAUAAAGUAAAGAACGGCUACAAGUAAGAAUGUCUAAGAAUAUAAAGUAGAAUCGGUAAUCUACUUGUAUAGUUGUAUGGAUUUCAUAUCGCACAUUGUGAGGCAUACCAUAUAGUUCAAUAUCGAAUAAACGUAUAAAUAUCUUUUAUAUGUUAUUGGACUAAUAUGUUGCAGUGCCUCAUUAGACCUAUUGGUUGAGCUUUUUUCUUGGAUGGCCGUACCCACUGGAAACUAUGGACAAUAGUUCUCACCCCCGUAUUAUUUUGGAGGUAUAGAUUCACACGUGAGCGGCGCGACGGCGCGAGGUAAAGACGUAGCUUCGUAGAUAGCGCCCUACCACCGAGACUAGAAAUAGCAGUAUCUGAGUCGGCUACUUAGAGAUGUAAAAUAAAAUGAAAAAAAAAUGUUGUAAUAGUUGUGUUAAAUCGGAUUAUAUUUGAAAGUAAGAAUCUAGUUAAUAUAAUGUAAAAUGUGAACUGAGACGAAUACUUGUAAUAGUAUAGACGUGUUUAUGUUUUCGAUACCUUUCUUAUUUAGUCUUUAUUUGUAUACUGUUUCUAGUUGGAACCUUGUACAUUGUUGAAUUGUGACGCCUUGGACGUACAGGAAAGACUCUAUCCGCGGUACAGGAAAAAUCCUGUCCGUCCAGCGGUCUGUUGGCGUGCCCGAAUCCGACCAAAGAGGCUGACUUGAGACUUGACAGCUACAAUCUUCGCUAUUCAUAAUUCCACCACCCAAAUCCACAGCGGCGCCAUUACACUCUAGGGUUCGUCCAUUCGAACAAUGAUGCUCGUUCCUCGAAUCAAACUCCUCAAGCUUCGCCUCACUACCUUUGAUAUCUACCCCCAGUAUUUACGUGGUCGUCGAGAUCCGCGUAGAGGUCGCCGAAAUCGUCCGAUUCGUCCAUGGCGCUCUUAUUGAAGUCAAUCGCAGAAACUUUGACUGCUCUAAAGAAGUUAAGGUGGUUUUGUUAUAUUUUUUUUUUUUUUUCCCACCAAAUUUUUAGGUUUUCGAAAUUUUUUAUUUUUGUAAAAAAUUAUUUUCUAGAUUGAAAUUGAGUGGUCCAUAGAUGACGUGGUGCACAAGAUCCAGCCAAAUUAUUGCUAACUAACUUUCCUCCCUCGCAGUUGACGCACCUACUCUACCCCAAAACGUACCCCAAACCCCGUCUCCGCUUCGCUGAUCUCCUCUUCCUCUUCCUCGUCCUCGCGUCCAUGGCGGAUCAAUCCCAAUCCUCCCCAAACCCUAAACCAUUACCUCCUCCUUCUCCUCCUCCGCCGCUGCACGCGGCGGCGCGGCGGCGGCGCGACUUCCUUCUCCACGUCGAGGCCUACCUCGCGCGCCGCGAUGGCGUCGACAAGCUCCUCAAGAUCGCCCGCUACGCCGCCAAAAUCGCCCUCUCCUCCCCCUCCGGCGCCGGAACCCUAGCCCCGCGCCUCAAGGCCUUCGAGUCCAGCGUCGGCCUCAGCCGCAAGGCCUUCCGCCUCGGCAAGUUCGUCCAGGACGUCAACUCCCUCCGCUCCCCCUCCGCCGCCGCCGCCGCCGCCGCCCCCUCCGCCGCCGAUCGCCUCCUCGCCGCCCCCGCGUACGGCGGCGAGGGCCUCUACUACUUCGUGGAGCAGUUCGUGUGGCUCGCCAAAGCGGGGCAUCCCCGCCGAGCUCGCCCCGCGGCUCCAGAGGAUCAGCGCGUGGGCCGAACUCGUCGGGUACGCGGGGAGCAUCGCGUUGAAGUUGAAAGAAGUGAAAAAGAUCCGAUCUACUAUCGAAUCGAAGACCCCGAUCUCAAAAUCGGGGAAAUGCGACGGAAUCGAAGAGGAGGAGGAGGAGAUGAAGAGAUUGAGAGAGAAGUUGCUUCUUAAGCAUCUUUCGAUCGUCCAGGAUCUCGCCGACGGAUUAAUGGCGCUCGGAGAUGUGAGGGAAGCGAAAGGGUUUCUAGCUAGUCCUCUGCUUAUGGCCUCAGCAGGUCUUCUUUCGGCUGUCAUUAGCACUCACAAGAAUUGGAUAGCAUGCUAAGGUACAGGAUUUUUAGCUCUUUUCAAUUGUUGAUAGAGAUAAAGCUCCUAUCUUUUGAAUGAAUUGUCGGAGCCGGAGUAGAAACAAUUACAUAAUCUCGUAUAAUACCUCAUGUGUAUUGAAUAAUAUUGGAUGAUUAGAGAAAUAUAGAUGGGCAUGCUUAAAUAACAUCAGUUUAUGAUUCUGUAGCUAUGACAUUACAGUGACUCUUUAACUCUGUGCAUAAGUUGGGUGUUAUAUCAAAAUCAUAGCUUGUUAGGGAUAUGCUUGAUUAGUUCUUCAUGUUGCGUUGUUUGCGACCUGGAAUUGUGGGGAUCAAACUGUACCUAUGUUAGUUUGUGCACGUCAGCUUUAUUUUACUGGCUUAUAAGAGGCCAAAUGAGUUUAAUCACUUGGUUCUGGAAGUAGAAAGUAGAGGGAAAAAAUGGAUGGAUUAGUAAAUAAAGUCAGGACGAGAGCUUUGUAACUUAAUGAUCGUAUGCUUACUUGUCGUAUUGCUUUUGUGCUGCAUAAAAUUGGGUUGAAAAGAGAUAAACGAUUGGAGAUAAGGCGCUAUAGUUAUGUCUCAUUCAUUUAUUAACAUGCACAAAAUUUAUCAUUCUGUUUCUAUUUCGACAAAUUGGAGUAGGAAUAAUAUGAGAUCAUUUUGUAGCAAGUGUAUAUAAGCUUGAUAGAAAACUCAUGCUAUUUUGUGGUUUGGUAAAGCUAGUCUAGUUAGCUUUUGUUGUUUUUCUGUGUUGUAACUAGACUAUAGGAGCCAUAUGACGAUUUGAGAAAAUGCUAAGCAUUACCUAGUUAAUUGUGGAUGUUUGUAUAGUCUCUACUUGUCUAUUUUGCUGGCCGCAAGACGUUCCUGGUAAAGUGUUAUGACCAAUCCAGAAUCUCAGUUAAGAAAACAAAUAGAAUUAACGAAUGUAAGCAUAACUUGUUAUGUGAAAAUGAUAAAUGAAACUGACGAAGAAACAGGAGAAUGACGGGAUCUUAAGAAUACACAAAAGCUACUGCUACAAACAUUGACUGACGUAAUGUAUUUCACAAAGUGUUUUUAUCUUUAAUUUUGGUGCAUGAAUGGAAUUAGUGGAAAUGCUAGAAGCAAAAUAUGAUUGCUUCGAGAAAGUUAAAUAUCAUGCCAAGAAAAAUUGCUAAUACUUCAACAAUCUGAUGGAGGUGCUGUAAUUGUAUCCACUUGGGUUUAUAUUAAAAAUGUGAAUCUGUUGUGAGCAAGCUAUGUAUAGUUCUCAAGUCAUUUCUUGUAUUCCUUUUCUCUACUUUCACAUUUUAUUUCCACCUACUAAAAAACAAUUGUCUACUUCACUAACCACAUAGUACUCCAUAUGCUUUUUCGUUUUUCGUUUUUCUUUUUGAGUUUGAAAGGAGCCACAGAGUCGCUAAUUACAAAACCCUUCAAGAGAGAGCACCUGAAAUGUGAAAAGAUUAUACAAUCCAAAACACCCUUGUCAAUGCUAUGUAUAUGGGCGGCUUGCUUGUUAUAGUUACUGUGUAAUUUAUUUGACAGUUGGAGGAAAGUUUAUGUGCCCUGCAAUUUAUUUACUUGCAAACUUAGAGCUAUGGCAUGCAUCUUUCAAAGGGAAUCAUGAACUAAGAAUGAUCAUAUUUUGAUAGAUCGUGUAUAUGUUCAUCUGUUGCAGCUUCUGUUCAUUCUCUAUUUUCUGAAGUAUUGUCUCCAGUUAACUGCUUAUUGUUUCAUACUUUCAUUUAGAAAAGAUGAAUGUUAGAUCCUCAUUGCUGCUUUGUUCACAGACAAAAAUUGAUGUUGUUAAGAUGAUUCAGAAAGCACAUUACUGUCACACAGCAUUAUAGAGAAGCAAAAUGUUUCUUUUCCUCUGUAGUAUUUUCCUUUCAUUAGCUUUUGCUUAGAUGUAAUCCUGUAAAUGGAGAAAAAAAAACACAGAUUAAUUAGUCUCAUAUGAGAACACUCCUAAGAAUUUUAUAACUUUGAUAGAUAUUCAGUUUAAGGCAUUUUAAGCAUUAGAGGCAGAACUGGAGUACAUACAAGGACAAGCCGCAUGAUCGAAUGCUGACAAGGUGAUCUUAGUUAUAUAUCCACGAGAUAUAAUUCAUUUCAUCUCAAACUUUAAUUAUCAGUAUCAACAUGAGACCGUAUUUUUAUCUCUCAUUAAAAGGUAAAAGCGAGUCGCUGGGUCAAACACGCAGUGUCAAAACUCGGUGAAAAUGAACCUUUCAACAUUUUGGUAUGUUCUCAUGAUAACGAAACGUCCUUCUUAUCUUACCCCAUCCUACCAAUUACCUUAUUAUAGACCUUUCAACACCUUAUGCAUUAAGAAAAUGUCUACAUCUUAGUGUGAACAAAUAUUUUAUCGGGUCGACUCAUUAAUCGUCCACUAGCAUAUCUCGCAAAAUUCAAUAUUGGAAUAUUUGAAUUCGAUUUUAAUCCAAAUACUUAUGCAAUUCCGAACAGAAGAGGUAAGAAUAAGAUGUUAGUAAACUUAGAACAUCUUCUAAUUUAUUCAAAUUUAGGGCCAGAGAUCAAUGAACCGAGAUGAGCUCAGUUUGUAUGUUUUUCUCGUCUUCAAUUUUGAGAAUACUUUUCAAUACUAUAUUUACUUUCUAUCAACAGUUUAUUCUAUCAAUACGUUUCAAUUUUAUCUGAGUCCUUUUGUUUUAUAUAAUUUGUACGUUUGAAUACCAGUCCAUCAAUAUAAUCUUAUGAUAUUUUUUAUAUAAAAACAAAAAUUUCGUAAAUGAAAAGCUUGCGUAGAAAGAGAUCGUUUCCUUGAAGUAAUAAACAGAGUGGUGAAAGCGGCAUAUUCUUUCCCUCUAAAUACUUAACUGUUUACCCAUUACUAAAAUAUAUAAUCACAUACUCAACUUAUAAUAUACUUAUAAACUAUUUUAUCUUCUAACUUUCAUUUGACUUUGUAAAGAUAAAAGAUGUUAAUCCACAUAAUAAUAGUAUUAUUUAUAUAAAAAAGAGAUUUUAUAAAUAUUCAAAAAAUAUGUAAUAUUUUAAAUUUUUAAAGAGCACAAAUAAAAUUAACUUGUAUUAAACUUGAAUGAGGGUAGUAUUAUCAAAUUCCACUGGAUCCCAUACAUUUAUCACUAAGGGAGAGUUUCGUUGAGCGUAGAACAAAUCGAAAAAUUAUUUUCAGAUAUGAAAAAUACUUUCCUACUUAUUUAGUUCAUCGUAAAAUAAUUUUUCCAUAAAAAUAUUUUUAUAAAUUUGAAAAAAAUUAAAAUUUAUAUAUUAUUUUUCAGUGAAAAUAAAAAUAAAAAUAAAAACUCAAACUGCGUAAAAUUUUUUUCAUUCAUUUUGUUUCACUAAAUCAAACAAAUAUUAAUUUUUUUCUAACUAAAUAAAUAUUGAUGAAAAUUUAUUUAUUUUUUUCUACAAACUAAACGCUAUAAAAUAUUAAAAAAUUUUAUAAAAAAUUAUUUUUUACGAUUUUAUAUUGAACCGAACGACCCUAACCAAAUUUAAUGGAUUUUCUUUAAUAUCUCUUAUUAUCACGAAUCUUAUCAUAAUAAUAUUUAUUACUUUUAAUAAUAAAUACGAGAUAACACAGGGAGAUAACGAUCUCGACCAUCAGAUGCAUAUAAACGCACCAGGCAUGUCCCAUCACGCCUCAAUCAACGGCCGAGAUAGGGACACGUCACCCGUACCCUCAGCAACAUCGAAGUUAAAAAAAGAAAAGGGUGUAAACUAAAUAUAAAAUAGGCUUAAUUUUAUUAAUAUAUACUGCAUAGUUGAAUUGCUAAAUUUGUAAUUACGAAAUAUAGAAAUUAAACAGGUGAUAGCGACAUACUUGCCAUUCAAAAUAAAUCUAAAUAAUAAAAAUUAAGAAGGAAACUAAAUAGAGAAUAGCAUAAUAUAAUAUAAUUAAUCCUAAGUGGCUUUUAUAUAUAUAUAUAUAUAUAUAUAUAUAGGGAAAACUUCAAAAACCUCUUGUAGUUUCGUGCUUUCUCACUUUAGUACCCUCUGGUUUAAAGUAUAUCAAUUUGCCCCCAUGCAGUUUCGUUUUUAUCUUUUCGAUAACUUUUUCGUUAAUAUUUUAUUAAAUUAUAUACAAAAAACUUCAGAUAUUUAUCUAGAUUUAUCGAAUAUUCACUUUAGUACUUUUUAAUUUUAACUUUGUCACUGAUUUAAGAAAAAAAAUAAUAAAAUUGGUAAUAAAAAGAGAAAAACUAAAUUGAUAUAUUUUAAACCACAUGACACUAAAGUGAUAAACAGUGAAACCACACGAGGGUUUGAAGUUUUCUCAUAUAUAUAUUAUUAUAUAAAAAAAAAAAAAAUCUAACAUUCAAAAGAUAAUCUAAAAUAAAAAAUAUAGAUAAUAAUAUAUUAUCAGAGUGAGUCAGAGAGAGGAACAAAAAAAAAAAAGAAAAGAAAAAGCAGGCCGUUUCCGAAGAUAUCUCAUUAAAUGGGCUGACCACAAGCUAUAUACAAUUUUGAGUUCCGGUUAGGACCGUUAAAGGUAUAUAUAUAUAUAUAUAUAUAUAUAUACACUAUCGGUAGCACCGAGGGCUCCGUGCUACCAAAUUGUGUUCGAUGAUGCGGCUUCCAAAUUGACGAUCGGCUCCGUUAGACUUGAUCUACACUAUUAAAAGUAUUUAGAAACUAAAUUUCAUAAUUUUUCGAUAUUAUUUACCUAACAAAUAAGUUGUCUAAAAUUGAACGGCUGAAAAUAAAAAUCUCAUAAAAAAUAAUGAUAAAAGAUUUAAAUUCAAGAUCAGAUAUACUGAUCUUACUCUAAAUAAUGAAAAGAAUUUUCUAUAAAAUUUUCAUCGAAUUUGGNUAUAUAUAUAUAUAUAUAUAGAGUGGAGCUAGAAUACUUUUAGAAAGGAUGUGCGGAUAGGAUGAUAGUGGUCCCCGGUUAAAUUGAUAGUGGUCCCCUAGGGUUGAGUGGAUAAUUGGUUUAAUAGUAUAAUCUAACGGGUGGAAAUGAUCAAAGGGUGGAUCUAACGGUAGAAAACUCAAUAGUACCGAGGGCUUGAUACUAUCGAUAUUAUAGUAGCCGGACUCUAUCUAUAUAUAUAUAUAUAUAUAUAUAUAUAUAUAUAGAUAUAUAUAUAUAUAUAUUCGAUUCUUGGUUAUUUGCAUCUUCUUUCUCCCUCCCAACUGCUCACCCCUCUCCCGCCAUUACACCUUGCUGUUCUCAGUCUUCUCUGACCCAACUGCUAAUCCCUCACCCGCCAUUACACCCUGCUCCAAGAACUAAUCUUUCUUUCACCCCCCCCAAAAUCGCUCGAUCAAAAAAGUUUUUGCCCUAACUUCUCACCCCACCCAUGCGGCCCUGCCACCUACCCCAGCCCCCACCUAUUCCCGUCCUCCUCUUCCCUUCCGGCGGCUCGCCAAAUGCCAUCGGAAGCCCCCGCGGGGCCAUUCUCUAUACUAGAGAAUCUGGAAUUGCUGAAGUAAGAGGGUAUGUGAAUUCCGACUAUGCUGGAGAUUUAGACAGGAGUAGAUCCAUUACAGGUUACACUUUUUUGCUGAAUAGCGGACCUAUUAGUUGGAAGUCCACAUUGCAGCGCACUGUAACCUUUUCAACUACAGAGGCGGAAUAUAUGGCAGCAAUUGAAGCAGCCAAGGAAGCAGUCUGGCUCCAAGGCUUGGUAGGUGAAUUCGGAAUCAUACAAGAUAAGGUAAACAUAUUUUGUGAUAGUUAAAGUGCUAUUUGUCUUGCUAAAAAUCAGGUGUACCAUGCAAGGACUAAGCAUAUAGAUAUAAGGUAUCACAAAUUAAGAGAGUUCACAAAUGAAGAUGAUGGAGAAAUUCAACUUAUAAAGAUGUCUACAAAGGACAAUAUAGCUGAUAUCAUGACGAAGCCGGUAACAACUGAAAAGUUUAGGCAUUGACUAAACUUGGCAAAUUUGCAGGAUUGCUGAUGAUUGGAAGCUCUAGGGAGAGAGAGCAUUAAGAUAAGAGAGACUGAAUGAAGAACAAAAGAAGCUAAGGUGGAGAUUGUUGGUUAUAUGUCUUCUUUUGUAUAGGGCAUAAAAUUAUUUGUUUGGCCCAUAAGAUUUUUUGGACUAAUAUGCAAAAGAGACAUGAAUAUGAAAGUUGGUUCAUGGCGCACCGGGUCUACCGAACUAUUUAAAGUAUGAAUAAAGGGUUUUCAUUGGACAGAGAAGUAAUAUGCUGCGUUUCAUGCAUGCAUGCAUAAAACACAUGUUGCCAUGAAUGUCAAAAAGCCUAUAUAUAGGGCUUUCAUGUGUUUCAUGCAUGCAUGUCAAAAAGCCUAUAUGUAGGCUAAUUAUGACAAGUUGACAAUUGAAGAUGCAAACUUCAAUUGUGCAACUGCAUCCAUGGCUAUAAAAAGCCUCCAUCUCCACAUAUAAAUGAACAAGAUGAAGCACAAGCAACGGGUGAAUUAAGUGAGGUAUUAGGAGAAGGGUGGAAACUUAAUUAGUAGUUUGUUGAGUUUCUCUUAUUUGUUGUAAGAAGAGAAGGGUGGUAGUAACCAUAAGGCUCUUGUAUUAGAUUGAGAGAAACAUAAAGGUGUGGGCUUGUAAAUUUUCUUUUUUUCAUAUAAAGGAUACAUCUCUCCGCUCUCUCCGUAGAGGUAGGCCACUUACCGAACCACGUAAAUCGCUGUUUUUUUUUUCUGUGUAUUUCUUUUUAUUAUUUUUUCCUGUUUCUUUGUUCGUAUAUUUUUGUUGAUAGCACAUACAGGAUGAUCCUAAGUCCCAACACCCUCCUCCAUUUCCGCAAGAACUUCAUCAACGUUUCCAUAUCGAAAUGGUUGGCGGCCCCCGCCACUAACCCAGGGACCACCGUGACGUCGCCGUGUUUCGUCAUUGAUGAUAUACCUCAUGGUGGCGAGUAAAGCAAUGGUGCAUGUAUGGUAAAUUGAACGUAGCUGGAGAAAAGAUUGAGCGUCUUUGAAGAACAAACAUAGCUGGCCAGCUAUGUUUGUUCUUCAAAGACGCUCAAUCUUUUCUCCAGCUACGUUCAAUAUACCAUACAUGCACCAUUGCUUACCUCGCCACCAUGAGGUAUUGCAUCAAUGACGAACACGGCGACGUCACGGGUGGUCCCUGGGUUAGUGUCGGGGGCCGCCAACCAUUUCGAUAUGGAAACGUUGAUGAAGUUCUUGCGGAAAUGGAGGAGGGUGUUGGGACUUAGGAUCAUCCUGUAUGUGCUAUCAACAAAAAUAUACGAACAAAGAAACAGGAAAAAAUAAUAAAAAGAAAUACACAGAAAAAAAAACAGCGAUUUACGUGGUUCGGCAAGUGGCCUACCUCCACGGGGAGAGCGAGAGAGAUGUAUCCUUUAUAUGAAAAAAAGAAAAUUUACAAGCCCACACCUUUAUGUUUCUCUCAAUCUAAUAUAAGAGCCUUAUGGUUACUACCACCCUUCUCUUCUUAUAACAAAUAAGAGAAACUCAACAAGCUACUAAUUAAGUUUCCAGCCUUCUCCUAAUACCUCACUUAAUUCACUCGUUGCUUGUGUUUCAUCUUGUUCAUUUAUCUGUGGAGAUGGAGGCUUUUUAUAGCCAUGGAUGCAGUUGCACAAUUGAAGUUUUCAUCUUCAAUUGUCAACUUGUCAUAAUUAGCCUAUAUAUAGACUUUUUGACAUUCAUGGCAACAUGUGUUUUAUGCAUGCAUGCAUGAAACGCAGCAUAUUACUUCUCUGUCCAAUGAAAAUCCUUUAUUCAUACUUUAAAUAGUUCGGCAGACCCGGUGCGCCAUGAACCAACUUUCAUAUCCAUGUCUCUUUUGCAUAUUAGUCCAAAAAACCUUAUGGGCCAAACAAAUAAUUUUAUGCCCUAUACAAAAGAAGACAUAUAACCAACAAUCUCCACCUUGGCUUCUUUUGUUCUUCAUUCAGUCUCUCUCAUCUUAAUGCUCUCUCUCCCUAGAGCUUCCAGUCAUCAGCAAUCCUGCAAAUUUGCCAAGUUUAGGCAAUGCCUAAACUUUUCAGUUGUUACCGGCUUCAUCAUGAUAUCAGCUAUAUUGUCCUUUGUAGACAUCUUUAUAAGUUGAAUUUCUCCAUCAUCUUCAUUUGUGAACUCUUAAUUUGUGAUACCUUAUAUCUAUAUGCUUAGUCCUUGCAUGGUACACCUGAUUUUUAGCAAGACAAAUAGCACUUUAACUAUCACAAAAUAUGUUUACCUUAUCUUGUAUGAUUCCGAAUUCACCUACCAAGCCUUGGAGCCAGACUGCUUCCUUGGCUGCUUAAAUUGCUGCCAUAUAUUCCGCCUCUGUAGUUGACAAGGCUAUAGUGCACUGCAAUGUGGACUUCCAACUAAUAGGUCCGCCACUUUGCAAAAAAGUGUAACCUGUAAUGAAUCUACUCCUGUCUAAAUCUCCAGCAUAGUCGGAAUCCACAUACCCUCUUACUUCAGCAAUUCCAGAUUCUCUAGUAUAGAGAAUGGCCCCGUGGGGGCUUCCGAUGGCGUUUGGCUAGCCGCCGGAAGGGAAGAGGGGGAGGGGAAUAGGUGGGGGCUAGGGUAGGUGGCAGGGCCGCAGGGGUGGGGUGAGAAGUUAAGGCAAAAACUUUUUUGAUCGAGCGAUUUUGGGGGGGGUGAAAGAAAGAUUAGUUCUUGGAGCAGGGUGUANGCGAACGUUGCGGUUUUUUAGGUGAUCCGCGAGUCUGCGACCGCGAGCCACGAACCGUUUUUUCGGCCGAAUUAUUUUCGAAUAAUUAUUUUCACCAAAAAAUAUACGUUUUUUUUUCAAAUAUUUUUUAAAAAUACGAAUACUGCUGUUUUAUUCAUUUUUUAAAAAUUCACGAAUAAUUUGUAAAUUAUUAAUAAAUUAACUAACAUAUAUAUAUAGGUAUAUUGUAUGUUAAAAAAUAAAAUAUAUAUAGGUAUAUUGUAUAAGUAGUAAAAUAAAAAAAGUAAAUAAAGCGACUAAAAUUUUAAAAUACACAUAUACUCUUUAUCUAUAAGUCUUAUUGUUGUCUUGUGGUGUAUCCACAUUGGCGGUUUUUAAUUCAACCCGAUCCAUAUAGGACGUGCAUUGAAAUUUAUUCUAAUAAGUUAAGAAUAAGACUAAAUUAUAUAUUUUUAUUAAUUAAAAAACUUAUCUUUCAGUGAAUAUUUAUUAUGAAUAUUUUAAUCCUAAUCCUUAUCCUAAUAUCUUUGUAAGAUUCAAGAUAUUUAGGAGAUUCCGCUAUUCUAUAAAUACACCCUCUUUUCUCUCUCGUAAAAAGAAUUCUUUUCUCUUCUUUCUCUCUUUUCUCUCCCGUAAAAAGAAUCUUCUCUCUUUUUUCUAGAAUUUUCAUCUAUGUUCCCGGUUGCAUCCGUAAGCAUCUAGACCAAUACGAUCCAAGCAAGAUAGUAAAACAAGCAAUCCGAUCCGAUCAACCGAUUCCGGUUCUGAUCCGAUUUCGGUUCCUGAAUACGUUGGGCCAUCCAGUUUGUAAGUUUCUACCGCCCUAAUAUUUCAAACUGUUUUAAAAUACACAAUACUCUUUAUUUAUAAGUCUUAUUGGAACUGAUCCCUCAACUUCAUUUUUUUUUUUUUUUUACUAUGGAAUACUAUGGGAUAUUUCACCCGGUCCAGAUCUGGAUCCAGAUUUGAAAGCUGUUCGGCACUCUAUCCAUUAGAAAGUUGGGUUAUGUUUGGCCCAAAUCGGUUAUCAGUAUAAAGUAUCGAGAUACAUACUCGAAAUUUUUAUAGGUAUUUUUUUUAUUCGUAUGCUAUUUAUUUUUUAUGUCGAAUCCGAUUUGGAUCUGAGUAGGAUCCGAAUUAGAUAUGAGAUAUUAGAUAUUUUGAACAUUUUUACCAAUGAUCGAAAUUUGUUAGAAUAAUCUUGUACUAAAAGCGCCUGAUUAAUAAAUCAAUAAAGGAGUCUCCAAAUCCUCAUGAACUCUGGUAUUCUUGCAAGUAAUCGUCUCAACUUUUAGCUGCCACAAUCAAUUAAUUAAUGUACUACUUCGUCAAAGGAAUGCUUUGCCCUAUCAUCUGGAAUCACGUAUGUGGAACUAUUUAUUACCUCUGGAAUGGGACUAGCAAAACCUUAUAGAAGCAAACAAUGAACGGCAUCAACAAGAUCCAUAUUAGCAUCUUCUUUACUUCUACUAGAAGAAUGGAAAUAAUAAGCAAUCUUUACUUGUUCUACUAGUAGAAAUGUGUUUGAAAACUGCAUAAAUGUGUUCAGAUUUUAUCGUAUUUUUAAAGACUAUAAACAAACAAAUUAAUUUAAUUUAAUUAAGUACGAAUUCUAAACAAAUUCUAUAAUGCAGUAAGUAAAUAACAUUUUGUAUUUUCAUAUAAAAUUUAAAUUUCAUUUAAAAUUUUAAAAUUUUAAAAUUUAAAAUUUAAAAUUUUGAAUUUUGUAUUUUGAAAUUUAAAUUCUUAAUUUGCUAUUUUCAAUUUAAAUUUUGGAUUUUAAAAUUUAAAAGUUUAAAUUUUAAAUUUAAAAAUGUAAAUAAAAAAAUUAAAAACUUAAAUUCAAACAUAAUAUAAGAGGUAAUAUCAUUAUUUUCUAUUUAUAACUAUCCAUUAUUCCUUUUAUUCUAUCUUAUUUAUUCAAACGCUAUUUUUCUUUUAUCCAGAAAUAAUCUAUUUUUUAUCCAAAUACAAUGUACCAGAAUUUAUACCAUUUAUAUCUAUUUCUGAAAUAAGCCGUUCUUACUUGUAUCCGAAUCAAACAAAAUCUUGAUAACCUUUUAAAAAAGAGUUCCCUCGUUUUCUCGUUAGGAAUGUUAGGAUUCAUCUAUAGCGAGACUUAUCUAAAAUAUUUUUAAUAUAUAUGAAAUAAAAAAUAAAUCUAAUAAAUGAAUUCUAAUCUGUUUAGAAUUUUGUAUAUAUGUGAAAUUUAUUUAAAAUAGCAUUAAGAUUAAAGUGCCUAUAAAUAUAUGAGGUAUUAACCACUUAUAAUAAGUAAGAAAAUUAGUAGUCUUUCCACAAUUCUCACUAUUAGAAACUAUGCGGCAAAAAAUCUAAUUUUUUUAUCCUACAGGCAACAACAACAAAAAAAAAAAAAAAAAAAAAAAAAAAAAAAAAAAAAAAAAAAAAAAAAAAAAAAAAAAAAAAAAAAAAAAAAAAGCGCGCUUGCGACAGGAAGACGGACAAGUCGAACGCCGACGUCGGACCGGCCGACUGUCAUGCGAUACUGAUCGGACAAAUCUGCCGGUUCGCACCCGUGAUGUCGUGCAUCAUCGCCCGGGCCGUGGAUGUCGGUCCUGCUUGCUCGUGCCCCGCAACCCUCGCAUUCGUGGUUCUCUACUUGAGGUACUGCAUCUACGCUCCCCUAUUCUAUCUUUCACUAGUGAAGCAUCGCGUCGACGGAGACGGAGACGGAGACGGAGACGACGACAGAAAGACCAUGACGAUGCUGGCGCCGGAGCUGGCAGAGGGGAGCCCGUUUCGGGACAUGAGCGCCGGUGACCUCCUGGAGGAGAUCCGCAAGGGGCACGGGUUGCUGCUGGACGGAUUGUUGGAGAGGAACAGCGAGCUGGAGGAGGAGCUGAAAGCCCGCGAGAAACGUAAGAGGUUUAAGAGGAUCGGGCUGUACGUCGCGCUUGCGGUCAUCAACUUGACGUUAAUAGUAGCCGCGAUUGCCAUAGCCGCGAAGGCAGCCAUCACGGCGGCUUUUGUACCCCCGAAGGAAGCCAUCACGGUGCUGAUAGUCUCCAUCGCGGCGGUAAAUCUGCUGGCCGUCUUCGCCGUCUUUGCGUUUUCCUCGUUGCUCGGCGUGACAGACGAUGAGCGCGAUUGCCUGUUGAAGGACGAGAAGGCGGCCGUCAAGGUGAUGAUCGAAGGCAGCAACCUUGCACGGCUGCUGCGGCCCCUGGAGCAGAUAAGAACGCAUCUUUUGAACCUCAACAUAGAGCGCUCUGCAUUGCGCACCGCCUUGGCAAAUGAGCAUCAGGUUGAUCAGGGCGGCGGCGUCGGCCAGACGGCAGCGGUCGUUCAUCUCCUACGGGAGGAGGAGAAGAAGUGGAGGAAGAAGGAGGAGAUCCAGAAGUGCAUGAAGCGCAUCCGCAAGACGGUGAACCGCCUUCAAUGCGAGGUGGAAAAGGAGGCUGCCGACUUCGCGAACAUUAUUUCCAAGUGACAGCUCUUACAGCUAGCUAGCUUGCUAUUGUUACUUUUGCAUUUGCAUUCAUUAUUCUUUAAGCUGCGUUUGGUUCGGGUAUAAGUAAGAACUGCUAGUUCUAGGGAUAGAUACAAGUUCAGGUAUAAGCAGGAACUAGACUAAUUUUGCGUUUGGAUGAAAAUUGGAUUAUUCCUAGGAAUAAGGUAAAUAGUGUUUGGAUGAUUAGAUUGGAACAAAAGGAAUAAGCGUUAUAAUUUGAAAUUAAAAUUAUAUUAUGUAAUUAAUUAACAUAAAAAUAUUACUUAAAAAUAAAUAAAAAUUAAUUAUUAAUAAUUAAUUAUAAAUAAUAAUUAAUAAUAAUAAUUAAUUAUAAAUAAUAAAUUAUUAAUAACGAUUAUCUAAUUAAUAAUAAUAAUUAUUAUUAUUAAUUAUUAAUAAAUAAUAAUAAUUAUUAAUUAUUCUUAUUAAUUAAUUAUAAAUAAUAAAUUAUUAAUAAUAUUGAUUAUCUAAUUAUUAAUAAUAAUUAAUAUUAAUAUUUAUUAAUAAAUAAUAAUAAUAAUUAUUAAUAAUUAAUUAUAAAUAAUAAAUUAAUAAUAACAUCGAUUAUCUAAUUAUUAAGAAUAAUAAUUAUUAAUUAAUUAUUAAUAAAUAAUAAUAUUAAUUAUUAAUUAUUAAUUAUAAAUAAUAUAUUAAUAAUAAUAUCGAUUAUCAUUAAGAAUAAUAUUUAUUAAUAAUUAUUAAUAAUUAUUAAUAAAAAAUUAAUAAAUAUUAUUAAUUAUUAAUAAUUAAUUAUAAAUAAUAAAUUAUUUAAUUAUUUAAUUAUUAAAAUAAUAAAUAAUAAUUUAAAUAUAUUAAUUAGAUUAAUUAAUAAUUUACUGCGAUUAAAAUUAAAUUUAGAUUUUAAUUAAUCUUGUUCUCAUCAAGGAACAAGCUUGUUCCAGGAAACGGGUGGAACAGCAGUUCCAGCCUUAUACCAGUUAGUUCUAGAUUCCCGGAAACUACUAUUUCCGGGAGCCAAACAUAACGUUUGGAAACAAAGGGAGAAACAAGGGCUUAUUCCCCCCUUGUUCCCCAACCAAACGCUACCUUAGGGUUUGCUUGCUGUAAGGUAAUUUGACUUUUGAGUGCCAUGUUAGAUUUUUUUUUUUUUCAUAUUUUUUGUUCCAUGAUUUUCAGUGUCUAGCUAGUUCUUUUCCACCACCGUGUCCUAAAAAUAGAACUUCCAUUAGGGUUUGCUGUAGGGUAAUUUGACUUUUGAGUGCCAUGUUAGAUUUUUUUUUUUUUUCAUAUUUUUUGUUCUAUGGUUUUCGGUGUCUACCACCACCGUGUCCUAAAAAUAGAACUUGUGAAUACAUAUAUAUAUACUAGUGAAGCAGGCCGCGCUUUGCGGAUAGAUACCACAAAAUAAUAAAAUUUUAUAUUUCAAUAUAAAAUUGUAAUAUUUAUUAUAAUAUAAAUUUAAUUUUUUCAGACAAAUAAUAAAUAAAAAUAAAAUUAAAUAUGUGAAAACAUAUAAUCAUAUUUGGUUGGACGUAAAACCAAACAAAAUAAUUAUUUUUAGAAAAAAUAUUUAAAUUGAAAUUAAAAUUUUGAAGUGCUACAUAAUUGUCAAAUAAAAAAAAUAAUCGAACCAAAAAAAAUAGUUCCCAAAUAAAAAAAUUCUCUAAUCAUAAAAUUUUUAGAGUAAAAAUUUUAUUUUGUUUAGGAUGAAAUAGCUCUCAAAUACUUUAUUGAAAAAAUUAAAAAAAAAGUUAAAAUUAUUAUUAUUAUUAUUAUUUCACAUUAAAAUAUAAUGCAUUUCUAACUUCAGAAACUAUAAGUCAACUUCAAAGUGGAUCUGUUGUGCGAAGAGUGCGUUAUGAACCGUGGCCGCCUGCCUGCUUUGGUUGGUGGGGGCGGCACCUCCGUUGUGGGUAAACGGGAAACCCGACUCUACGAACCCGAGGAAAAGCUGCACAGCUUCCGUAGGAGAGUUAAGACCGGAGCUAAGCUGAUAACAUAUUUUACACUUAAUAUAUUAUUAUGACUAAAAUUAAAAUUAGAAAUAUUUAUUUACUCUACUCUUCUCUUUCUUCGAAGAAAGAGAAGGAUAAUUAAUAAGAAGAGAUUAAGCCUAAUUAAUCUAGAACUCAAACGCCGCGCAUGUUCGCCGCUGACGCCACCCCCAAAGUAAAGAUCCUUUUUUAACAUUGGAAUCACAAUUGGGAAAAAAAGAAAAAAAAAAAGAAAACAAAAAAUCAACCAAACAACACACUUUAGCAGAGUUAUUCAAUAAAAAUAUUUAAUCUCAUAAAACAUAAAAUAACAAAUAUUUAAAGAAGGGAAAAAAAGAAAAAGAAAAAGAAAACAAAAAAUCAACCAAACAACACACUUUAGAAGAGUUAUUCAAUAAAAAUAUUUAAUCUCAUAAAACAUAAUAUAACAAAUACUACUUCAUCAUCAGUGCCAAAAAUUAAAUGCAAGUCCAAAGGAUUAGCAAGUAUUAUUUCUUACAAACCUCAUCAACACAAUAGUUUAGAUAUUUUUACAGAGCUUCAGAACAAAAGUAACCUAAAUCUAACAAAUAUUUUACCUUUUGUUCCCCUAAAUGGAGCUCAUAGAAGCUAAUACAACUAAAGAUUCCUUUUUUACAUUGAAAUCACAAUUGGGGAAAAAAGAAAGAAAAGAAAAAUCAACCGAACAAUACACUUUAGCAGAGUUAUUCAACAAAAAUAUUUAAAGGGCACUUCACAAAUCGUCAAAAAAUUUAAAAAAAAAUUCAAAACCCAUGAAAGAGGAGAUAAAACACAACAGAUCUACAGCAUAAAGUUGAGAUCUUUAGCUAGCAACAUCAAAAAGAUCAGAACUUCCACACAUAUCAAGAGAUUUGUAAUGGCAAAACCCUAAAAUUUGCCUUAAAAUUGCAUGAUUCGAAAUUGGUAACCUGGAAAAGGGGAAAAAUACUCUUAAAAAAGGAGCUUUCUUUUUGCAGAAACAAAAUUUAAUCUGUAGAUAAGGAGCAAUUAAAGGGUGAGAGAGAGAGAGAAGGAGAGGGGAAAAAUAUAUACCUAAAAUGAAAAUUUUAUCUAAGAAGCUCAAAAUACCUACCCUAAAAUGGAGAGAGAGAGAUAUAUAAAAGAGGGUCGAAAUUAACCGCCGACGCCGCCCAAGCCGCUGCCACCGCCGGCACCGCCCAAGCCACUAUCACCAUUGUACGCAAGAAGUUAGAAAAAAAAAGGGCAAAAGUGAGAAGAAGAAGAAGAAGAAGAAGAAGAAGAGGAAGUUACAGAGAAUAAGAAAAAGAGAAGGAGAAGACUAAAAAAAGAAGAAGAAAAAGAAGAAAUUCACCUACUCUUCACUGUCCUCCCUCUCUCUCUCUAUCUCUCUCAAAGGAACUGUUUCUGGAUGUGAUUCUCCACCAUCUCUCCACCAUAACCCUGAAAUAAUCUAAUCAGAAAGAGGAAGAACCUAUUAAACGAUAGAGAAUUAUUUUUUUAAAAAAAAAUGGUUCAUCAUUGCUGACUACUGUAAUUAAUCCUAAUUAUUUAAUCAAUAGCCAGCUAACACCACAUAUAUUAAUAAUAAUAAUAAUAAUAAUAGUAGUAGUUAAUUAUUUAAUUAAAAAAAAAGAACGGGGUUAAAAGAAAUUAGUGGGGGCUGGGUGAACGUACCAGGAAGGAGAGGAAGGAGGAGUAGAGGACGAUGCGGUAUCGGCCAAGCCAGAAGUCGGCGACGACUACGCCAACGGGCGCGAGCGUGGACGCGGCGCCCGACCACGCGUUCUCGUUGGCCGCGCCCGCCGCCGUCGACUCCCGCAGCGGGCGCCCGACCGCGCGUUCUCGCUGGCCGCGCCCGCCGCCGUCGACUCCCGCAGCGGACGCCCGACCACGCGUUCUCGUUGGCCCCGCCCACCGCCGUCGACUCUCGCAGCGGGCCCGUCAGGUAGCUUAUCAGGGAGAGAUGGGGGGCUAAGACAGAGAGGAGAGGAGAGAGAGAGAGGAGAGGAGAGAGAGAGAGAGUGAGAGGAGGAGAGAGAGAAAGAUGGUAGGGAAAGGAGGAGAGAGAGAAAGAGGGGGCCAGCUAUAUGAGAGAAAAGAGAGAGGGGCCCACCUUAAGAGAGGAAGAGAGAGAUAGGAGGGGAGAGAGAGAGAGAGGAAGAGAUAGAAAUAGAUUAGGAGGGAAGAGAGAGAAUGCCAGCUGGAGGUGAGGUGAGGAGAGAGAGGCUCGGGUAUGAGGCUGGAGGAAGAGAGAGAAGGGGGUAGGAGAAUAGGGAAGAGAAAGGGCCAGCCGUAGAGGUGGGGCGAGAGGACUCGUCGCCACGUGGAAUAGAGAAUAGAGAGGCAUGCCACAUGGGAUUUAUAGAAAGUGUCAAAUAGUAUAGUUAUAGUUAAUAUAUAUAUAUAUAUAGAGAGAGAGAGAGAGAGAGAGAGAGUUAGGUUUCUAUAUUUUUAAAAAUACGGAGGCCUCCGUGCUUGUAAGUUGUGUUUAAUGAUGGGACGUCCGAUUCGGCGAUCGGUUCCGUUGAACAUGAUUUACGCUAUUGAAACUAUCUAGAAACCAAAUUUCAUAAUUUUUUGACUUCAUUUGCCUAGUGAACGAGUAGCCUCAAAAUGAACGGCUGAAGAUAAAAAUCUCAUAAAAAGUAGUGAUAAAUGACUCAAAUUUCAAAUCGGAAGUAUUGUUCUUACUGUUGAUGUUAAGUAGAAUUUUUUUUUAAAGUUUCAUGUAAUUUGAAUAUUUCUACACCGUUGAACUUAAAACCGUGCCACAUCGGCCGUUAAAAUAGUCAUUUUUGAGACCCUAUGAUCGCUUGGUAAAUGAUGUCAAAAAAUUAUAAAAUUUAGUUUCUAAAUAGUUCCAAUAGCAUAGAUUAUGCCUAACGGAGCCGAUCGUCGAAUCGGGUGUCCUAUCAUCGAAAACAACUUACAAGUNUGAUCACCUCGCAGAUAACACUGAAAGCUUAUGGAGAAUCUGACGUAUCUUGGGAUUAGUAAGUUGUGAAUAAAAUAAAAAAAAAAUUCUGCGAACCGAGCUACGUGAAUUAAUUCAAGUUGAAAUUAAGGAAUAUAAAAGGGUUUGCUAUCCUUUUGUUAAUAUUUAUUGCUACGGCGUUGAUUGUAGUACCAUUAAGAAAAUGGCAAAAAAGUCCACGCAUACAUACACACUUUCCACUUUUUUUCUCUCUAUUUCUUUUUUUAUUUUUUUUAUUUUUGUUUCUUUUUGGGUGACAUGCUCACUGUUGAAAAAAAAAAAAGAAAAAGAAAAGAAAGGAGAAUUAGUCGAAUAAAAACUACCCAAUAUAAUUCUAAACUUGGACUUACACAUUAUGCUAAGGGGGUGUUUGGUUUUCUAUAAAACCAGCUGAAAAAAAUUUUGGCUGAAAAUUUUUUUCCAGACGUUUGGUUUGGUGUAAAAGGAAAAAUUAUUUUACGAAUGUGAAGAAAAUCUCGGCUUUUCGUUUUCCGCCUCAUUUCUGCGGAAAACGAAAACUUGGAAAAGAAAUGGCGGCUCAUGCACAGUAAAAGCAUCGCGGUCCACGAGCUUAGGGUGAAAGCUCGUGGACCGCGUGAGUGGUCCAUGCUGGACCACACACCCAACUCUCUCUCUCUCUCUCUCUCUCUCUCUCGUUUGUGUGUUUAAAAGAGAGAGAGGGGAUAAAGAAUUAUUUUAUAUAUUGAGUCUGGCUGGGGUGCUUCAAUAGCACCAAGCAUUUGGCGCUACCAAACUUUCUACCGUUAGAUUUGCUCUUUCAUCAUUUCCAUUCGUUAGAUUAUACUAUUCAACUAACCACUCACUCAACCCUAGGAGGCCCACAUCAUCCUAACCACCCAUUAUAUAUAUAUAAAACUCUUUGAUUAUUUUUAUCCGUUAGAUUUAACACUUUGAUUAUUUUUAUCUGUUAGAUUAUACUAUUCAACCAACCACUCACUCAACCCUAGGAGGCCCACAUCAUCCUAACCACCCAUUUCUCAAUCCAAGGGCUAAAAAAUCAAUAGCACUAAUAGCUUGGUGCUGUUGAUAGUAUUCCAGUCUAAUUCUAUAUAUAUAUAUAUAUAUAAAGAGAGAGAGAGAGAGAGAGAGAGAGAGAGAGAGAGAGAGAGAGAAGGACGGCUGUGCUUUUAGAAGCAUGAAGGCUGAGCCGUUUUCGAUGAUGAAAUUUUUGAAUCGACGAUCGGCUCGGUUAGACUUGAACUAGCGAAUUUGAAGUUUCGAAAAAAUAAUUUUCGCAAUUUUUCGAUCUCAUUACCUAGCACUAAAAUUUUUGAUGAAAGAUAUUAAUCA
rnacentral:lncRNA from 1 species